ensembl:lncRNA
UGGCUUAAAGCAUUUUUAGCUUUAUUUGAACCACACUGACAUCAGCGGCAUGGUUAGUCAAGGAUUUCUACAAUAAAUAUUACAAGAAUGUUAAUAUGUAUCUACUUGUAUUCAUUCACAUGCACAUUUUUCAUGGAUUCAUUUAAAUGUCUUUCUACCAUUUGCUGUAUCACUCAUUUUAUUCAUAACUAAAGCAAAACAUACUGUGGCUUAAAAUAAAGCUUAAAUAGAUAAACAAACAAACCACAAAGAUAAUGCAAAAGUUGUUCUUGGGUUCAUAUGAUGAAAAAAACAACAACAGCAAAAACACCACUGUUCAAACGAUUGAGGUUGAUAAGAUUUUUAAAAGUCUCAUGUCUUAUGCUCACCAAGGCUUUAUUUAUUUAAUUAAAAAUACACUAAAAUCCGUAAUUUUGUGAAAUAUUAGUAAAAUUUAAAAUGACUGUUUUGUAUUGGAAUAUAUUUUAAAAUGUAAUGUAUUCCUGUGAUACAAAGCUGAAUUUUAAUCAACCAUUACUCCAUUUUUAGAACUUUAUAUAUGCUAUAUGGAACCAAGAAGAAUGAACAUUCUGUUUAACGUCUAAUGUUGUGUUCCACAGAAAAAAAGAGGGUUUUGAAUGACAUGAGGGUGAGUAAAAAAAAAAUGACAGAAUUUUCUUGAGCGAAAUAUGGACAGUUACCAAAGGCUCUUUCACUCUUCUUUCACCUGUGCAUUUUUUUUGAAUUACUACAGAUGUUUCAAAACAGUUGGAAUACAUGAUGACAACUUUCAGAGUAACUUUUGACAACCGCCUGGAUAAUGAGUCACGUGGAAGUGUUUGAUUCAUGUUUUAAUCUUUGCAUUGGAGAUUCUACAAAGAGAUACAGUUUUGGACUGGUUGAGUGUGAAGUUGUCAAAAAAAGGACAUCUGUUGGAAAAGGCAUAUGUGAUUGGAGAAUAAAAAGGAAGAGGAACCACGACAGAUCCUUCUGUCGCUCGCAGUGAUACAUUUCACACAGGAAACUUCCCAAAAGGCUUCCUGCCAGAAGAUACUAAGGCUCCUCUGCAAAACAGAUUUUUGACACUACUAUGAGAAAUAUGACUGUCGUCAUUGACAAAAAGUUAUUAAUAAGAUUUCUAGCAGGCAGCAUCAGUUUUCAGUCCAAGCCACAGUGGGGAAAUGUUAGAAGUUGAGUAGUCUCUUACCUUCUUCUGGAUCUUCCGGAUCUUCGGUGACCUCCUGCACCUCAGGGUCGCUCUUAAAUGCCAAGCUCUCCUCGUGGGUGUAAUAUGUGCCUUUCUGAUGUGCCAUGAAGCGGAGAACCACUAACAUAAUUAGCAGUACAAUCACAACCGCUGCUAUUACAGAGACUCCUGGAUGAGGAAACAACCACAAGAAGACCAGAAACGAAUGAAAUCAAGUUGAUAAUAGGUAUGAAGUUCACACAAAACAGGGUUUACUUUAGGGUGGGGCUUGAAGAUCAAUUGGUUUUAUCAACUGGAAAUUGAUUGGGCGUGGCUGUGAGUGAAAUGGGAGGUUAAAUUUAGUAUAAAGCUAAUUUAUGGGAUAAUUCAGCCUCCAUCGAGAUGCUUAUAUCGUCAGUGUGGCCUUGUAUGAUUUAAAGAGUUGUAGAUGAAUAGAUCUUAUUUUGAACAUGAUUACAUUCUUACCCAACAGAACAGCAUAAACUGAUUCAGCACUGGAAGCCAUACCUGAAACAAAACCAAAAUCAAAAACAUUCAGUACUUUUUUCCCCCCAAUGAACUGAUUCAAUGGUUUUCCUCCCCCUCCCUCCAAAAACAUUUUGCUUUCCGUGAAUGUCUCGCAUGCUGCACUCGAAAACACUGUGUUGUAUUUUUAAUGGAGGGAGCACAGAUCUUGGAGAGGAAGCUCCAUGAAGAGGAUAAUUUGGGUGAUGAAGACAUUUUAUGGAGUGGAGAGCAGAUGUUUGCACUCAAAUUUAGAUAAAUGCCACAAUUUCUUAUUGCAGGGCUUCCCAUAGGACAAAAAACACACAAACGUGAGCUCUUUAACAUCUUAAGACCCUGGGGCCUCAUAUGAGGACAUAUUUUUGUGAAUUUCUCUGAGACUGUACAUGCCACAGUUUUAAGUCUGGAUGUCCUGUACAGAGCACAUACAGGGCUUUUCAGAGAUACUAAAUGAUUGGAUGUUUCACCAUGACCACUCCCUCUCCUUGGUCUUCAAAAAUGUCUGAAAUUAAUUUAGUGACACUCUUAUGAAAAUAAGAUAAUAUUUUGUAAUUAACAUUUAAAUCUGUCUAAUUUUUAAAUGUUGUGUCAUAAAUCAAGAUCUCAG